AUAUCACGUAGAAAAACCGGGUCUCAUAUAGAUCACCGAGGUUAAGCCAGGUGGAUCCUGGUCAGUAGUUAGAUGGGUGACCGCUUGCGAAUACAGGCGCUG